AUGCCUCUCAGAGUGCACUCGCGGGCUCUCUUAGGCUCCAUUCUAGUUGUCCCCAAAACCGUUUCCUGUUGUUCUCACUUCUUCCCAGGGAGGGUUUCUCUGCGAUCCUUUUCUGGUUCAUUUUUGGGUGCCUGGUUUCUAUUCCCAUCUUCUUUAUGGGCAUCGUGUCUAGUAGUUUGGUGUUACUCUGAGAAGUCUCCUCCUGUGCCUCAGCAGGCCAAGUCUGAGAGCAGCUCAGAGGACAGCGUCCCCUCAUCUGUGGCACCCCUGUGUCUGAGGGAGUGCGGGAAGGAGAGAGAUGAGAGAACGGCCUCACUGACUGUGUGUGGACACUCACGUUCUUCUACAUCUCUCCCUAGCCAACCAACCCGCCAGUAUGGUGGAGAGCUCAUCCUUGGAGGUUUCUUAAAUAGAAUCACCAGCCCUGGGCUGAGGUGGUCCUGGGGCUCAGAAGACACUGGUGUCUGGCGCUAGACUUUUUGAACUGGGUACUGAGCCUCAGCAUGCUGGCAGGUUGGUCAUUCCUAGGCACUGUGAAUCUAUGUUUCUAUCUUGGAAGCUUGAUGAUUUCCAUCAGCAUAAUCUUUACCACUUCUAUCAUUAGUGAAAGUAAUAGCUGUCAUUGAUGUUUUUAUAUAUGCCAGGUACUAUGCUAAGUAUAUUUUUUAUUUAUUUAUUUGAGACAGAGUGUCACUCUGUCACCCAGGCUGGAGGGCAGUGGCAUGAUCUCGGCUCACUGCAACCUCUGUCUCUGGGGUCCAAACGAUUCCCUUGCCUCAGCCUCCUGAGUAGCUGGGAUUACAGGUGCCCACCACCAUGCCCAGCUAAUUUUUUGUAAUUUUAGUAGAGAUGGGCUUUCACCAUGUUGGUCAGGCUGGUCUCAGACUCCUGACCUCAAGUGAUCCAUCCAUCUUGGCCUCCCAAAGUACUGGGAUUAUAGGUGUGAGCCACCGUGCCCAGCCUAAGUACUUUGAAUACAUUAUUGCAUAUAAUUUCCACAAGAGCACUAUAAGGAGGUCAGCAAUAUGUUUCAUUCUAUAAAGAAAUCAAGGCUCAGAGGGCUAAGUAACUUGUCCAAAGUCACGCAUUAUAUAAGGCCAAAAUUUGAGCACAAGCUUAUCUGAUCUGCAUUGGGAUCAGAUAAGCUUGUGCUCAAAUCAGUUAUUUCUACAGCCAAGAAUUCUCUAUCACAUGCCAAUUGAAGACAAAACUCCUUUGAUCUGUAUUUAAGACCAUACAAAGUCUCGGCUCCACCUAUCAAUACAGCCUCUCAGUGCUUCAUGAUAUUUAGCACAGACUUCAACAAGUCCUUGCAGCUGGCCAUGAUUUUCUUGCUUUUGUUCUUUUAAUCAUGCCACCUGGAGUGCUUACUUGAAUUGUAGGCAUUCCUCAAAGCCCAGAUUAAUUUGUAUCUUCUCCUAAAAAUCCUUCCAGGGGCCCAGAGCACAGUGAUUUCUCUCUCUUUUGAUCCUAUAAUGCUUACCUGUGCUGCUGUCACAAUUAACAUGUCCUAGUCAUUGGGCAAGGCAGUGGGGAAACAGCCCAACCUACAAGAGUAGAAAGAGGUAAGAGCUUGGCAGAUUAUCUGUACAUGGAAUAGAGGUGUCUUUUCAUAUAGCCCAAUUCUACUCAUCCUUUAUCACUUCCUCAGAAAAAUCCUUGUUCUGGCUUUCCAAACUAGAUCAAGUCCUCUUUUCUCAGGCACAUUGCAACGUGCACCUAUCAGGGCUGCAAUUAGACAUCAUUUGUGUGUUUUUGUUAAGUGUCUGGGCUCUCCACUAGACUGUGGUGUAUGUCUUGUUUACCAUUGUAUCUCCAAGUGCCUUGCAUGACACCUGGCUCGUAGACAGAUCUCAACACAUCUAUGUGGGAUGAAGAGGAAGGGUAGAGCAGUAGAAAAAAGCAAGACAAGGAAUCAGAGACUGAAUCAUGUAAGAUGCUAUGUACCACAUUACAGGGUUUAUCAGCUACUGCCUUACAGUGUUAGUCAUGGCUUGAUUAAUUGUGUUGUUUCGUCUCUAUUAGAAUAAGCUCCUUAAAACAGUAAGCACAAAUUACCCACUCCUUGUAUCACCAUAAACCCUGAAAGAGUGUCUUACACAUAGUAGGUGCUCAAAAUGCAGCUAUUUAUUGAUUACAAGCCCUGACUGUGUUUGGCACUAUGUGCUGGACCCCAAAUAGGUAGAUGAAAGAAGAUAAGACACAGGCUCUGUCUUCCUAGAGCUUUCAGUCAGAGCUGGAGUGGGCAUCAGAUCAAGACUGAGGAUGCGACUCCAAUAAUCACGAAUGCGCUGAAGCAUUUCAUGGGCAGAUGUGUAAUAGGAGUGGCUUGGCUGCCUGGAAGAGGAAGAACAUCAGAGCUGCUGGGUUGGGGGACAAGGGAUGACAUGGUUCAUGUUUUCAGUAGAGGCACUUGAUUCUCUUUGUCCUGGUGUCCCCCUCAGAUUUGCCGUCGGUAACCAGGCCACUGGCUUGUGCUCUGAGGGUUGCCAGGCCAUUGUGGUUACCGGGACCUUCCUGCUGGCAGUUCCCCAGCAGUACAUGGGCUCCUUCCUGCAGGCAACAGGAGCCCAGCAGGCUCAGAAUGGUGAUGUGAGUAAUCAGAAGCCAAGGGCUUUUCUGCACACCCAGACAGACUCAACACAGGCACCUGAGUGCAAGGAGUUCACAACAGAGAGGAGGAAGGGUAGAAUGGGACCUGAGGCUUUGGUAGGAGAGAUGGGUGGGGACACAGCAUGAC
ensembl:lncRNA